GCUGGCGGCAUGCCUUACACAUGCAAGUCGAACGGCAGCACGGACUUCGGUCUGGUGGCGAGUGGCGAACGGGUGAGUAAUACAUCGGAACGUGUCCUGGAGUGGGGGAUAGCCCGGCGAAAGCCGGAUUAAUACCGCAUACGCUCUGUGGAGGAAAGCGGGGGAUCGCAAGACCUCGCGCUCAAGGGGCGGCCGAUGGCAGAUUAGCUAGUUGGUGGGGUAAAGGCCUACCAAGGCGACGAUCUGUAGCUGGUCUGAGAGGACGACCAGCCACACUGGGACUGAGACACGGCCCAGACUCCUACGGGAGGCAGCAGUGGGGAAUUUUGGACAAUGGGCGCAAGCCUGAUCCAGCAAUGCCGCGUGUGUGAAGAAGGCCUUCGGGUUGUAAAGCACUUUUGUCCGGAAAGAAAACUUCCUGGUUAAUACCCGGGGAGGAUGACGGUACCGGAAGAAUAAGCACCGGCUAACUACGUGCCAGCAGCCGCGGUAAUAC
rnacentral:rRNA from 1 species